UGACGGUUUUCGCUUUUACAUUUUCAAGUGAUGAGAUAUUUCCACGCCAUUCGACCAAGCUUAAUCAAAAGUGAACAAUUCUAAGGCAUCAUGCCGAAGAUCUUUUUCCUUUCUCCACAUGAUCGCUGCCGUGUAACAAAGAUACUUCUUUGAGAGGGUCUCUACUAUAUUGCAAGACAAAAUGUGAUGAGAUUUGGAAAUCUGAGAUGGUAGUAAUGUACUUGUAAGAUGAAUCAAGUAGGUUAGUACUUAGUAUAUUGCUUACAUUUUAGUCUACGUAUGUGUGCAAAAGAGUCGUACACUCGUAUGUUACUUUAGAAUGUUAAAAAUUAAAUUUAAGUGUUUUUUCAACAUGUUAACUGAUGCAUUGUUUAUUGAUUAUUUUUCAAUUACUUUACCAUUGUAAAGUUCAACCUGCAGACGGGCCGGCCAGUUUGCAUGUCCUUCACACUUGAAGGUCGCUGGGAUCAUUACGUGUAAAACUGUCAAUUCGGUGGUGUAGAGGUUGGGUGAGAACAGAACGUCAUUAUCAAGCAGACCCAUCCCCGGCAACCUAAGGAAGGAAAGGGCAGUUUUCAUGAAAAAUCUUUCAAUCGAAGGUCACGGAGAUCAUAACGUAAAACGUGUCAUGCGACGGCGGAAAGGUUGGGUGAGGACGACACGUGUUACAUCAUUAUCAAAGCAGGUACAAUAGCCGCAAGGGUAAGCUAUUUGG